CUUUGUGAAGAAACAUAUCAAGAUUAACAACCAACAAAUGUGGCCCUCAUGUGAUGGAAUCUGGCUGUAGUCACUGAAAAACCAAUAUUGUCCAACAUGGAUAUGAGUGUCUAUAAACAGAGCGACAUAUGGCUAAUUUCUAAUGCUGCCUGCUGAAAGAAAAAUGGAUCAAGCAAAAGGAGAGCUCCUUUUUCAAGGAGAUACGAUCCAGAAUCAAAGAAGACUCAAGUAGGCAGAUGUAAAUCUUAAAGUAAGCAUAUUUAUUCUGAAAAGAUACCACUACUUCUUCAGCAUGGACUUCAUGCUGAUCAAGCAUCAAUCCUGUCUAUAUUUACCUGCUGUCAAUAUUGUGGGACGAAAUCAGUGUUCUGUUUAACCUCUGACCUGCCAGAGCUGAAACAAACAAAAAACGGAUCUGGAGCCAUGGGAGAGCACAGCCAACUGGCAAACAGCAGGGAACCAAUUGUUAAAGUGACAUUUGGCUCUGGCACAGGCAGCCUCUUUGGGGCAAACUGUUAUUC